rnacentral:rRNA from 1 species
UACGUAGGGUGCAAGCGUUGUCCGGAAUUAUUGGGCGUAAAGAGCUCGUAGGCGGUUUGUUGCGUCGGCUGUGAAAUCCCGAGGCUCAACCUCGGGUCUGCAGUCGAUACGAGCAAACUAGAGUGUUGCAGGGGAGACUGGAAUUCCUGGUGUAGCGGUGAAAUGCGCAGAUAUCAGGAAGAACACCUAUGGCGAAGGCAGCUCUCUGGGACGGUACUGACGCUGAGGAGCGAAAGCGUGGGGAGCGAACAGG